rnacentral:misc_RNA from 1 species
AAGUCGUAACAAGGUUUCCGUAGGUGAACCUGCGGAAGGAUCAUUAACACAAUUUACUUUAUCAAUAUCAACAUUGGAGCAUCUGACGAACCUCUAUAGGAGAACUCCGAAGUGUGGCAAGGUUUGAUGAGCUGAUCUCUGAGGAGAAAGGCUCCUGGCCUGUCGGAUAGCAUCCACGCUGAAAAGUGUGAGGUGCCAGUUCUACCCGUUCAGGUAUUACAGCCUCGAACCUGGCUGGUCUUUUUUUUAUAUUAACUUUGAUUUUUGUUAUGAAUUCAGUUUGGGAUCGAGAAUGGUCGCGCCCCUUUUACGGGGGAAUGUGACCGGACUCUCCUGAGCGCUUAGUGGAGAAAUCCAUUAAAUUAAUUGAAUACAACUCUUAUCAGCGGAUAUCUCGGUUCUC